rnacentral:rRNA from 1 species
AUUGAACGCUGGCGGCAUGCCUAACACAUGCAAGUCGAACGAGUGGCGGACGGGUGAGUAAUGUCUCGGAAACUGCCUGAUGGCGGGGGAUAACUACUGGAAACGGUAGCUAAUACCGCAUACCAUUAGCUGUGCCAAUAUGGGAUUAGAUUGUUGGGGGGGUCACGGCUCACCAAGGCCACGAUCCCUAGCUGGUUUGAGAGGAUGACCAGCCACACUGGGACUGAGACACGGACCAGACUCCUACGGGCGGCAGCAGUGGGGAAUAUUGGACAAUGGGCGCAAGCCUGAUGCAGCCAUGCCGCGUGUAUGAUGAAGGCCUUCGGGUUGUAAAGUACUUUCAGCGGAGAGGCGUUACCCGCAGAAGAAGCACCGGCUAACUCCGUGCCAGCAGCCGCGGUAAUAC